UUACGGUAACACCACGUUUAAACACCUGUUCCCGUACAAUCACCAAAGUUAAGCAAGGACGAGUCUGUUCAGUACCUAGAUGGGUGACCGCUUGAGAAAUUCGAUG